UGGGUGGCUAGCUCAGUUGGUAGAGCAACGGACUCUUAAUCCGUGGGUCCAGGGUUCGAGCCCCUGGCCACCCAUC
rnacentral:tRNA from 1 species